GACGAACGCUGGCGGCAUGCCUAAUACAUGCAAGUCGAGCGAACAGAUGAAGUGCUUGCACUUCUGACGUUAGCGGCGAACGGGUGAGUAACACGAAAGGAAUCUACCUAUAAGCGGGGGAUAACAUUCGGAAACGGGUGCUAAUACCGCAUAAUAUCUUCUUCCGCAUGGAAGAAGAUUGAAAGACGGCUCUGCUGUCACUUAUAGAUGACCUUGAUGUGCAUUAGUUAGUUGGUGGGGUAACGGCCUACCAAGACGAAGAUGCAUAGGCGACCUGAGAGGGUGAUCGGCCACACUGGGACUGGGACAAGGCCCAAACUCCUACGGGAGGCAGCAGUAGGGAAUCUUCCGCAAUGGGCGAAAGCCUGACGGAGCAAUGCCGCGUGAGUGAAGAAGGCCUUCGGGUCGUAAAACUCUGUUAUCAGAGAAGAACAAAUUGUAGAGUAACUGCUACAGUCUUGACGGUAUCUUAUCAGAAAGCCACGGCUAACUACGUGCCAGCCGCCGCAGUAA
rnacentral:rRNA from 1 species